rnacentral:rRNA from 1 species
CAGCACCUCAAGUGGUCAAGAUGAUUAUUGGGCCUAAAGCAUCCGUAGCCGGCUCUGUAGGUUUUCGGUUAAAUCUGUACGCUCAACGUACAGGCUGCCGGGAAUACUGCAGAGCUAGGGAGUGGGAGAGGUAGACGGUACUCGGUAGGAAGGGGUAAAAUCCUUUGAUCUAUUGAUGACCACCUGUGGCGAAGGCGGUCUACCAGAACACGUCCGACGGUGAGGGAUGAAAGCUGGGGGAGCAAACCGGAUUAGAGACCCGCGUAGUCC